rnacentral:rRNA from 1 species
UACGCAGGCGGAAAAUUAAGUCAGUAGUGAAAUCCUGCAGCUUAACUGUAGAACUGUUAUUGAUACUGGUUUUCUUGAAUAUAGUUGAGGUAGGCGGAAUGUGUAAUGUAGCGGUGAAAUGCUUAGAUAUUACACAGAACACCGAUUGCGAAGGCAGCUUACUAAGCUAUGAUUGACGCUGAGGUACGAAAGCGUGGGGAGCGAACAGGAUUAGAUACCCUGGUAGUCC